GGGGUUGUGGCUCAGUGGUAGAACACUCACCUAGCAUGAGUUAGGUGCUGAGUUCGAUCCUCAGCACCACA
rnacentral:tRNA from 1 species